ensembl:lncRNA
UGCUGAUCCGCUCCUGACCGGUUUCCCUUGGUUCAGAUGUGCCACUCUCAGCCUCCCUUCAGCAGGAUGCAGUUAACAACCAUGCUGACAAGGAGCGUUGGAGUUGCGGGAAGUACUCUGUGGUGCAGCCUUGGAGCACACUGCUUCCUGCAGUGCAAGAGGCACACAGCCAGCAGUCAGGUGACCCCGACCUCACCGCCUCCAGAUGGAAAGAGCGGGAACGAUGAGGCGAGAAGCGAGAGCGGCGGGAAGCGAAAACGGCGGGAAGAGAGAGACACGUUCUGCGCUCCUAUUGGCUGGCGGGCGGCGGGGACACCUAUAUAAGGCUCACGGGGAAAUGCAAACUCCUUACAGCGUGACAGGAAUCCCACUGCUCUGAGGAAAAGACGGCAAGCGGCAUCCCGGGCUGAGUUACCAACAACUAAUGGAAGAUAAACAAAUGAAACUGAGGAAGUCUGGAUGACAAACGAAAAAGAGGAGCUCUAAAUAGAGGAGCUCCCGCAGAAGACGGCGGAAGAAGCCACGUGUGGAACCGGGCGGCAGGAGGAUGCAAGCAGAGGGAGCAAGAAGAGGAAGCAGAAGACUGCGGCUGGGCUAAGGGAGAGGCGGCCUGGGCAAAAGCAUCUCCCUGUCACCAGGGGCAUAGUCAUGUCGCAGUAGAGCGUUGCCGGCACUUUAGGUGACCAGGCCGGCUUUGUGCUGGGCGACCUCCCUGUAAGCAGGGCUCGGGUCUUUGCUGUAGUUGGCCUUUUGCCUUGUUGCUCCUUUGGCUGCCUGGGGAAGGUGGGCCCCUGUAAGGAGGGCGAGAGCUGCUUUCUCCGCACCCGAGUGGGAAAUGGAGCUCGCUGGACCCCACGGGCACCCUGUAAGCAGGGUAGCGCCCUUCCCCUGCCACUGUUCCUCUGGCCGCUCAGCGCUGAUGCCUGCUGGUGGCCUGUCCGUGUGUUGGCCCUGUACUCGGGGCGUGUGUCACGCCACUUGGCCUUAAGUCACCUGGGAAUCCCCUUGGCGCGUUGAGGUCUGAGGCCUCCGUGCAGCCCCGGGGCGGGACAGAGGCUCUUGUCUGCUGCUCGUGGGUACGGGGUUUUAUUUCCCCAGGCCUUGGCUGCACUGCCUUCUCCUUCCGUUCUGGAAAGCCCUGUCUGUGUGGUUGUGUUCCCCUUCCUUCCCUUGUUUGCUUUUGUGUGUGUGACUGUGCGAUUGAAGUCUCCCCUUAGGCCUCCAUGACUAUGGCUGCAGCUUAGCUGUGGCUUCCCAGGGGGGAAUGGAGGACUCGGUGGAUGCAGCAAGGGGGAUGUUCCCUCUUAGCUCCGCGAGUGGUGCAAGUGUCCUUUUGUCUUGCCCCUUUUUUCCUAGGGCAGAACAGAGCUGUGUGGUAGUUGCGUGGCCAUGGCCGCCCUGUAUCCAGGGUUUGGGUCUGUGCCUGUGUGGCCCCCUGUCCUGCUGGCGACACGCCAGCGUGACAGCCCCGUACUCGGGGCGUGUGUCACAAACUGUGGAGCCCUCUGUCCCCGGAGCGGCCCGCCCCCCCUGUAAUCAGGUCUGGGGAGGCUGCGUUGGUGCAGCCGGCUGCUUUAGCCAGCUGGUGGGAGUGACCCCUCCCUGGCCCGUUAGAGGGUGCAGGUUGAGGUGCUACUUGUGGCUGGGGCGACUUCCCCGCUGUGUGGGUAGAGGUUGUUCCCUGGGCUCCUGAAGACGUGGUGAUGAUUGUGCUGCGGCCGGGCGGGCCCGCCUGUACCUCGGGCGUUGGCAGGAGCUGCGUGCUCCGUGGGGCUUUUGGACGUGGUGCGGCGUGGGGUACCGUCCUGUAGUCAGGGCUGUGCGUGCCCCCUGCGCUUAGGAGGAUGAGUUCUGAGAGACCCCCUGUACUCAGGUGGGUACCUUCGGCCCGGCCUUUCAGAGGCGUGGUGCUGAGAGAUGUGGGGUUGGGAUCUCGGCCUUUGGCCGUGCCGCCCUGCUGCCUGGCCGCUGAGAGUCGUUCCUGCUGGCGAGGGGGAAACCGAGCUCUGUGGCUCCUGGGUGUCAUCGCCCCGCCUGUAAGCAGGGUCUGUGGGUGGGAGCCUUUGUGCUCCGCUGGCAGCCUGUGUGGGGCGACCGCCCUGAUAGCAGGGUUUGGGUCAAGGUGCCCCUGACUGGGGGAGAAGGAGCCCCCCGUGGCCUUCUGGGACCGGGGCUGCCCUGUAAGUCAGGGUGUGGCUGAGCCCUGGGGUACCAGGCCCUUUGCGGUGGAAGCGGCGACCGGGGCCCCUCUGUAAGCAGGGGUGUGGACCCUUUGGCCGCCACGUUGUGUGCCCAGCCCCAUUUGCCCAGGCUGCCCGACUCUGCGGCCCGUUGCAGCAGCGUCUGGAAGUCCGCGGCGCAUGGAAGUGGAGCUCCCGCAGAAGACGGCGGAAGAAGCCACGUGUGGAACCGGGCGGCAGGAGGAUGCAAGCAGAGGGAGCAAGAAGAGGAAGCAGAAGACUGCGGCUGGGCUAAGGGAGAGGCGGCCUGGGCAAAAGCAUCUCCCUGUCACCAGGGGCAUAGUCAUGUCGCAGUAGAGCGUUGCCGGCACUUUAGGUGACCAGGCCGGCUUUGUGCUGGGCGACCUCCCUGUAAGCAGGGCUCGGGUCUUUGCUGUAGUUGGCCUUUUGCCUUGUUGCUCCUUUGGCUGCCUGGGGAAGGUGGGCCCCUGUAAGGAGGGCGAGAGCCGCUUUCUCCGCACCCGAGUGGGAAAUGGAGCUCGCUGGACCCCACGGGCACCCUGUAAGCAGGGUAGCGCCCUUCCCCUGCCACUGUUCCUCUGGCCGCUCAGCGCUGAUGCCUGCUGGUGGCCUGCCCGUGUGUUGGCCCUGUACUCGGGGCGUGUGUCACGCCACUUGGCCUUAAGUCACCUGGGAAUCCCCUUGGCGCGUUGAGGUCUGAGGCCUCCGUGCAGCCCCGGGGCGGGACAGAGGCUCUUGUCUGCUGCUCGUGGGUACGGGGUUUUAUUUCCCCAGGCCUUGGCUGCACUGCCUUCUCCUUCCGUUCUGGAAAGCCCUGUCUGUGUGGUUGUGUUCCCCUUCCUUCCCUUGUUUGCUUUUGUGUGUGUGACUGUGCGAUUGAAGUCUCCCCUUAGGCCUCCAUGACUAUGGCUGCAGCUUAGCUGUGGCUUCCCAGGGGGGAAUGGAGGACUCGGUGGAUGCAGCAAGGGGGAUGUUCCCUCUUAGCUCCGCGAGUGGUGCAAGUGUCCUUUUGUCUUGCCCCUUUUUUCCUAGGGCAGAACAGAGCUGUGUGGUAGUUGCGUGGCCAUGGCCGCCCUGUAUCCAGGGUUUGGGUCUGUGCCUGUGUGGCCCCCUGUCCUGCUGGCGACACGCCAGCGUGACAGCCCCGUACUCGGGGCGUGUGUCACAAACUGUGGAGCCCUCUGUCGCCGGAGCGGCCCGCCCCCCCUGUAAUCAGGUCUGGGGAGGCUGCGUUGGUGCAGCCGGCUGCUUUAGCCAGCUGGUGGGAGUGACCCCUCCCUGGCCCGUUAGAGGGUGCAGGUUGAGGUGCUACUUGUGGCUGGGGCGACUUCCCCGCUGUGUGGGUAGAGGUUGUUCCCUGGGCUCCUGAAGACGUGGUGAUGAUUGUGCUGCGGCCGGGCGGGCCCGCCUGUACCUCGGGCGUUGGCAGGAGCUGCGUGCUCCGUGGGGCUUUUGGACGUGGUGCGGCGUGGGGUACCGUCCUGUAGUCAGGGCUGUGCGUGCCCCCUGCGCUUAGGAGGAUGAGUUCUGAGAGACCCCCUGUACUCAGGUGGGUACCUUCGGCCCGGCCUUUCAGAGGCGUGGUGCUGAGAGAUGUGGGGUUGGGAUCUCGGCCUUUGGCCGUGCCGCCCUGCUGCCUGGCCGCUGAGAGUCGUUCCUGCUGGCGAGGGGGAAACCGAGCUCUGUGGCUCCUGGGUGUCAUCGCCCCGCCUGUAAGCAGGGUCUGUGGGUGGGAGCCUUUGUGCUCCGCUGGCAGCCUGUGUGGGGCGACCGCCCUGAUAGCAGGGUUUGGGUCAAGGUGCCCCUGACUGGGGGAGAAGGAGCCCCCCGUGGCCUUCUGGGACCGGGGCUGCCCUGUAAGUCAGGGUGUGGCUGAGCCCUGGGGUACCAGGCCCUUUGCGGUGGAAGCGGCGACCGGGGCCCCUCUGUAAGCAGGGGUGUGGACCCUUUGGCCGCCACGUUGUGUGCCCAGCCCCAUUUGCCCAGGCUGCCCGACUCUGCGGCCCGUUGCAGCAGCGUCUGGAAGUCCGCGGCGCAUGGAAGUGGAGCUCCCGCAGAAGACGGCGGAAGAAGCCACGUGUGGAACCGGGCGGCAGGAGGAUGCAAGCAGAGGGAGCAAGAAGAGGAAGCAGAAGACUGCGGCUGGGCUAAGGGAGAGGCGGCCUGGGCAAAAGCAUCUCCCUGUCACCAGGGGCAUAGUCAUGUCGCAGUAGAGCGUUGCCGGCACUUUAGGUGACCAGGCCGGCUUUGUGCUGGGCGACCUCCCUGUAAGCAGGGCUCGGGUCUUUGCUGUAGCUGGCCUUUUGCCUUGUUGCUCCUUUGGCUGCCUGGGGAAGGUGGGCGCCUGUAAGGAGGGCGAGAGCUGCUUUCUCCGCACCCGAGUGGGAAAUGGAGCUCGCUGGACCCCACGGGCACCCUGUAAGCAGGGUAGCGCCCUUCCCCUGCCACUGUUCCUCUGGCCGCUCAGCGCUGAUGCCUGCUGGUGGCCUGCCCGUGUGUUGGCCCUGUACUCGAGGCGUGUGUCACGCCACUUGGCCUUAAGUCACCUGGGAAUCCCCUUGGCGCGUUGAGGUCUGAGGCCUCCGUGCAGCCCCUUUUGUCUUGCCCCUUUUUUCCUAGGGCAGAACAGAGCUGUGUGGUAGUUGCGUGGCCAUGGCCGCCCUGUAUCCAGGGUUUGGGUCUGUGCCUGUGUGGCCCCCUGUCCUGCUGGCGACACGCCAGCGUGACAGCCCCGUACUCGGGGCGUGUGUCACAAACUGUGGAGCCCUCUGUCCCCGGAGCGGCCCGCCCCCCCUGUAAUCAGGUCUGGGGAGGCUGCGUUGGUGCAGCCGGCUGCUUUAGCCAGCUGGUGGGAGUGACCCCUCCCUGGCCCGUUAGAGGGUGCAGGUUGAGGUGCUACUUGUGGCUGGGGCGACUUCCCCGCUGUGUGGGUAGAGGUUGUUCCCUGGGCUCCUGAAGACGUGGUGAUGAUUGUGCUGCGGCCGGGCGGGCCCGCCUGUACCUCGGGCGUUGGCAGGAGCUGCGUGCUCCGUGGGGCUUUUGGACGUGGUGCGGCGUGGGGUACCGUCCUGUAGUCAGGGCUGUGCGUGCCCCCUGCGCUUAGGAGGAUGAGUUCUGAGAGACCCCCUGUACUCAGGUGGGUACCUUCGGCCCGGCCUUUCAGAGGCGUGGUGCUGAGAGAUGUGGGGUUGGGAUCUCGGCCUUUGGCCGUGCCGCCCUGCUGCCUGGCCGCUGAGAGUCGUUCCUGCUGGCGAGGGGGAAACCGAGCUCUGUGGCUCCUGGGUGUCAUCGCCCCGCCUGUAAGCAGGGUCUGUGGGUGGGAGCCUUUGUGCUCCGCUGGCAGCCUGUGUGGGGCGACCGCCCUGAUAGCAGGGUUUGGGUCAAGGUGCCCCUGACUGGGGGAGAAGGAGCCCCCCGUGGCCUUCUGGGACCGGGGCUGCCCUGUAAGUCAGGGUGUGGCUGAGCCCUGGGGUACCAGGCCCUUUGCGGUGGAAGCGGCGACCGGGGCCCCUCUGUAAGCAGGGGUGUGGACCCUUUGGCCGCCACGUUGUGUGCCCAGCCCCAUUUGCCCAGGCUGCCCGACUCUGCGGCCCGUUGCAGCAGCGUCUGGAAGUCCGCGGCGCAUGGAAGUGGAGCUCCCGCAGAAGACGGCGGAAGAAGCCGCAUGUGGAACCGGAGCACAUGAGGGAGGAAGAGGCUGAUGCUGAGGUUGGGCAGUGUUUUGUAAUUAGACCAAUUUUUCUUAAUAUUUAUGGUGUUUCCCCUUAACAUAUAUGCUUUGAUUAUUCACCAAAAUUAUGUACUACCCCCUGUAUUAAAAGUUUUUUUCUUGUUGAUGUGAUGUCUGCCUCUUUUUUUCUUCUUCUUUUUAUGUGUUUAUGAUCUUUUUUUGUCUAUUUGCAUUUUAGUGUGUGCUGGAAGUAGUUUUUCCUUAUUUUUCUUGUCUAGA